rnacentral:rRNA from 1 species
GGGGAAUAUUGGACAAUGGGCGCAAGCCUGAUCCAGCCAUGCCGCGUGAGUGAUGAAGGCCUUAGGGUUGUAAAGCUCUUUUAGCAGGGAAGAUAAUGACUGUACCUGCAGAAUAAGCUCCGGCUAACUUCGUGCCAGCAGCCGCGGUAAUACGAAGGGAGCUAGCGUUGUUCGGAAUCACUGGGCGUAAAGCGCACGUAGGCGGAUUUGUUAGUGAGGGGUUAAAUCCCGGGGCUCAACCUCGGAACUGCCUUUCAUACUGCAGAUCUCGAGUCCGAUAGAGGUGGGUGGAAUUCCUAGUGUAGAGGUGAAAUUCGUAGAUAUUAGGAAGAACACCGGUGGCGAAGGCGGCCCACUGGAUCGGUACUGACGCUGAGGUGCGAAAGCGUGGGGAGCAAAC